rnacentral:rRNA from 1 species
GACGAACGCUGGCGGCGUGCCUAAUACAUGCAAGUAGAACGCUGAAGGAGGAGCUUGCUUCUCUGGAUGAGUUGCGAACGGGUGAGUAACGCGUAGGUAACCUGCCUGGUAGCGGGGGAUAACUAUUGGAAACGAUAGCUAAUACCGCAUAAGAGUAGAUGUUGCAUGACAUUUGCUUAAAAGGUGCAAUUGCAUCACUACCAGAUGGACCUGCGUUGUAUUAGCUAGUUGGUGGGGUAACGGCUCACCAAGGCGACGAUACAUAGCCGACCGGAGAGGGGGGUCGGCCACACUGGGACUGAGACACGGCCCAGACUCCUACGGGAAGCAGCAGUAGUGAAUCGUCGGCAAUGGACGGAAGUCUGACCGAGCAACGCCGCGUGAGUAUAGAAGGUUUUCGGAUCGUAAAGCUCUGUUGUAAGAGAAGAACGAGUGUGAGAGUGGAAAGUUCACACUGUGACGGUAUCUUACCAGAAAGGGACGGCUAACUACGUG